UUUUUUUGAUAUAGAAUCUUUUUCACAAGGAUAUUCCAAUAUAAAAUCUCCCACCAGGAGGGAGGAAUUCGGCUUUGAUGAGUAGCUAUCUUGUUGGUCUACUCAAAAUGAUCAGAAUGUAUUGCCACCUAUCACUAAUCACGUAGCAUCUUGUGGUGGUUGAUCCUUCAAGAAAAACGUGCCCUAUAGGCGAACUGGAUUCUCAUUUGUGUUAGGGUCUUACACAACUUCAACAUUGUCUUCAACUUACAGUAGUUAAAAAUAAAAUCGAGUGAUCAGGCUUCCUUAUCAUAAACCCUGCUUGAAGCAAAAGAGGGCCAUUUGAAAGGUAUAAAAUAGAGUGAGGGGUCAAAGUGAUACAGGAAAACAAUUGAAGACACAAAACACACCCCAAAACAGUCCACAAAUCACAAGGAUCCUAGGACCGAUUGGAGACCACACUCGAAUUCAAGAAUACAAUACAAGAAUGACAAUAUUCAAGAUGUUCAACACCUAUUUUAAGCCAACCCAAACUAAGUUAACCAACAAUAAGAUGAUGAACAAGAAGAACAAUAACAAUGUGAAACAACAACAACCAAACGGUUACAAUAACAAUACCAAACUACACGAUUACAAUGAAACAAAGGGAUAGAUAGAUAGACAAAGUGAAGGUAUAAUCUUAAGAACCCAAGAGCUUAUUCCACACUUGGACCCUUAAGAGUACACUCAACAAAUACCUAUGUCUUCGGUGGACACAAGAGAGACCUCAACCUCCUCUAGCACCCAACGUUCCAAGCAAGAAUCCAACAAGAGUGAUUCCACACUCCUCUUGACCUAAUUUCGGGUUUGUGCCUCAAGGAGAGAGGACUUGUGUUCCAAAGUGUUAAUACACUCAUAAUAUCAUGAAUAAUCUAAGACAAAAUGACCUACAAUAUUCUAUUUAUACUAGGUUACAAAUAGAAUACAAAAUGACCGAAAGACCCUUUAAUGAAAAGCCUCAAAAUAUCGCCCAUGGAGUGUAGUCUAGGUUCGGUUUUGGUGUGUGUUUUAGGCCCUCUUUUGCAUUUUUCUUGCACACUCCAAGCCUUGGGUUCAUUGUACUUUCACACGUCCAUCCUCAUGGUCGUACUUGUAUCAUCCUCCCCAUCUUGAAAAGGAUUCGAGCUCGAAUCCGUACCUUGCAAAAUCAAGAGAAGAUAAACAAGCACACAUCCUCAUGACAUGAGGGGUUAGGGUUAGCAAAAAUAACACAUCAACAUGCCAUGCCGAGGCGGAACAAACUUAAAGUUUAGCCACGGGUCCUUUGUUUUAAUCAUGAAAAGAUUAGUACAAAUGCAACAAAGGAGUUGGCUCGGGCAAGCAUCAAGACAAAAGAAAAAUAGGUCGAGCGUAAUCCUUUCCCCCCCAAGAUGGUACCAGGAUCAAAUGGGAGAAGUAGCCAUGGCCAUGGUUUUCGGUCAUACUUACUUUCCCCUAAGGUGCCACCCUCAAAAUUAGACAUACCCUCUAUAUAACGAUAGAAAAUAUUAAGAGCACAAAGAGGGUAGGAGAAAAUUGAAGAAAAGAACAAAGAAAGACAACAACAAUAACAACAAACCCAGUGUGUUCCCACAAAGUGGGGUCUGGGGAGGGUAAGAUGUACGCAGUCCAUACUGCUACCUCCGAAGAAGUAGGGUGUCCUCAUGCAAGUACUUACUAAUUUCAAGUUCAUUGAUUAGCAAGCUCAACAUAGGAAACACACGAAGGAGUAGAUAGCAUUUCUAGGCAUGCAACACUUUCUAUUUCAAGAGAGUAGUCCUAAAUAGACAUAAACCAUCAUGGACAGCAAAGGGAGUACAAUCAAAACCAACUUCACAAGAACAAACACUAAUCGGAUUGUCUAGACAUUCAAGCACGUCAAGGUCAUCGUCACCCGAUUGAUCAUUUUUCACAUCCUCACUAGUUGUUGGCAACUCACAUACCAAUUUAGACUCACCUUGGUUUUCAAAAGGGUCAACUAGUGUGUGAAUACUCUUAGUACACGGCAAUGGAACCUUAUUCAAGUCACAAGUGCUAGCACUAGAUAGACAUAAAUCAUUCUUACGAGAAGAAUUAAUUUUGUCAUCUAAAGGAUCAAUUAGUGCUUGCUUACUUACAACAAAAACUUAGUUGUCAUGCAUCCUGACAAUACCAAGAGUAUCACAAAAGGAAGACCCAUGCACUUCUACUCUAUGCAAACCCGAAACCACUCUCAUUUGGCUACUACUAGUCACAUCACAAUAUUCCAAGUUUGUAGGAGUGUGGGGAUUAACAUUUUUACCUUGUAACUCGCAUGAGUUACGGUCUUCACUUUGAUGUGUGUCAUGGCAGCCCGCUUGUACCUUUGACAAUUUCUCAUCACAAGGGAGCCUUUGAUAUAGUGGUUUGUAUGGCAUCCACUCCCUUUCUCGUCUUUCACAGUCACGGAGGAUAGUUUCAAGAAGGGCCAUUGUUCCUUGGUCAAGUGGAGGUUGGAUUAAUGGUUUUGGAUUCGGGGAGUCAUGUAUGUGACAUAGUCUUUCAAGGUUUCGGUGGACAUCUUCAAGGGCAGUCUUGAAAGUACCGUCAUCCAUGGGACCUAAGAAAGACAAUAACAAAAACAAACAAACAAACUUGUUAGGAUCCUAGGACCAAACAAACUUCUUGUAUCAUGAUACUGUGUUUUUUUUGGGAACAAAAUCAAGCCAUGCUCUGAUACCAAAUGAUACAAGAAAACAAUGGAAGACACAAAACACACCCCAAACAGUCCACAAAUCACAAGGAUCCUAGGAUCGAUUGGAGACCACACUCGGCUUUAAGAAUACAAUACAAGAAUGACAAUAUUCAAGGUGUUCAACACCUAUUUUAAGCCAACCCAAACUAAGUUAAACCAACAAUAAGAUGAUGAACAAGAAGAACAAUAACAAUGUGAAACAACAACAACCAAACAGUUACAAUAACAACAAUACCAAACUACACAAUAACAAUGAAAUAAAGGGAUAGAUAGAUAGACAAAGUGAAGGUAUAAUCUUAAGAACCCAAGAGCUUAUUCCACACUUGGACCCUUAACAGUACACUCAACAAAUACCUAUCUCUUUAGUGGACACAAGAGAGACAACUCAACCUCCUCUAGCACCCAACGUUCUAAGCAAGAAUCCAACAAGAGUGAUUCCACACUCCUCUUGACCUAAUUUCGGGUUUGUGCCUCAAGGAGAGAGGGCUUGUGUUCCAAAGUGUUAUACACUCACAAUAUCAUGAAUAAUCUAAGACAAAAUGACCUACAAUGUUCUAUUUAUACUAGGUUACAAAUAGAAUACAAAAUGACCAAAAGACCCUUUAAUGAAAAGCCUCAAAAUGCUGC
rnacentral:lncRNA from 1 species